rnacentral:piRNA from 1 species
UGGAAACGAGAUUUCCCUGUGACCUGGACUU